rnacentral:lncRNA from 1 species
CAGCGGAAAAUCAUAAACAUAAUUCAUAAAACGUUUUGGCACGCAGGCCCCCAUCAAACAGUUCAUAUCAUAAUCCAUAACAUUAUAAAAAUAACAUAUUAGUCACGUAAGAGAAUGAAACAUGCAUAAACAUAAACCCCAUCCCGUUACGUAUCAGAGCGACCUAGACGACACAGUGAGGCAAGGCCACUCACAGAAGCAACUGCACACUAAGCACGAUCACCUGCAAGUUACCCAUACGAAGGGCAACAUUUUCAAGCAGAAGGGGUGAGAUUUCAUAACAAAAUAGUAUUAAUCAAGUAAUUCGAAUCAUAGUUAACAUUAACAUCAUAUUCAUUCUUAAAUAACUUUGCAUAAUCAAAUAACAAAUAUCACGUAUUCACAUAUUCAAUAAACAAAUAUCACGUAUUCACAUAUUCAAUCGUCAUCAACAACAUAGCAUUAUGGACAUGACAAUAUGACAAUGCUCUUAGACUCCUUAUAUGCAUGUGGUACCAAUCGUCAUCAUAAGUAUUAAUAUACUUUAAUCGUGCGGAGGACAAAACUCCUAAAAAUCGUGCGGAGGACAAAGCUCAAUGAGAUGCUAUGCAUGGACUCUUAUGAACAAAACAUCGUAAUCAACAUAUCGACAUGCAUCCAACAAUUUGGAGCUAAAUGUCAUCAUUUCAUCAUAUAUAAAUAUAUACAAUGCACUUAGUUAAAUAACAGCAGUAGCAUAAUCAAGUCACAUAACAGGAUGAUAUCAUUAUAUCAAUAGCACAUCAAUUAUAUCAUAAAUUAAACUUUCAUAACUUACACCAUUGUGCAACACGUUAAUCAUAUUCCAUUAUAAACAACAUAUCUUAAACAGCUUUCAGACUGCAUUUAACGUCAUCAUUAGGUCUUAUUAUCAAUUAGGGGUUCACUCUUGAUGAAAACGUGCGACACAGAUCGCACAACACUCAUAACACUCAAAGCUGGAGGUGCUCCCGAGGCGAGAGUUCUUGCUCGCCAUGGCGAGUACUAAACAAUUCCAAAACUAAAGUCAUUUUGGGUCUAAUCUUGCCCUACAUUCAUUCCUAAUCAUUACUAGGUAUGUUCAGGCACUCUAAGGCAUUCAAGGUCCAACUAAAAAGGUCGAAACACAAAAUAUGACAUGCUCUCUGCCUUAGCUCGCGAGGCGAGGAAGGGUUGUUCGCCGUGGCGAGCGAUGCCAGAAAUGUUCGCGAGGCGAAGGGAAAGGACUCGCGAGGCGAGCGAUGAAGAUCAUAGCUCGCGAGGCGAGGAUCAUAGCUCGCCGUGGCGAGCGAUGAAUGUCGCUACGGCCAGGUUUUCUAAUUUCACAAAAACUCGACGAUUCACAUGGUUCUAAGCUUGUUUUUGAUUCCAAAGUUCGUCCUAAACAUUAUCUAAGGUCUAGGAACACUUUCUACAUCAAUUAAACCAAUUCUCACCGUUUGAUCAUCAAACCUAAGGUUUUGACCUAGUUUUCGUUUUCUCCAAUUAAUCCUAAUUCUUGCUAAUUAUUCAUCAGAAUUACAACAACUAAUAUUACUGAGUUAUUAGUCUCACCCUUACCUGGUUAUGAAGAAAUUGCAGCCCUCUCUAUGCUCUUCUCCCUUCUAAGCUUUUUCUCCCUUUUCCAAAAGUUUUCACGUACAAUGAGUUUCUAAAAUAUUAGGUCUUCUCCUAUUUAUAUCUCAUCCUAAUUACUUAUCUUAUCUCACUUUCUCCCCCAAAACUAUCUAAAAUAUCAUUCAAAUCAUACCAUAAUCAUGCAUAUAUUAUAUAAAUAUAAUAUAAUCGCCUAAACUCGAUUAAAUAAGCAAUUAACAAAAGUGGGCGUUACAACUCUCUCCCACUUAAAAGAUUUUCGUCCUCGAAAAUUUACCUCAAGCAAACAACUCUGGACAAGACUCCAGCAUUUUACUCUCAAGCUCCCACGUCAAGCUUUCACCAGUCGCUCCCGUCCAAAUGACUCUCACGAGAGGUAUCUCCUUGCCUCUCAACGUCUUCACUUUACGAUCGUCAAUCCUCACCGGUAAAGUCUCUACCGUAAGGUUGUCUCUAACUUGCACAUCGUCACUCUGGAUUACAUGAGAUGGAUCCGGAACAUACUUUCGAAGUUGCGACACAUGGAAAACAUUGUGCAAAUUCGAAAGAUGUGGCGGUAAACCCACUCGGUAAGCUACCGUUCCAAUUCUUUCCAAUAUCUGAUACGGACCAAUGAACUUCGGGGUCAACUUCUUUGACUUCAAAGCACGUCCUACGCCAGUCAUAGGAGUGACUCUCAAAAACACGUGGUCUCCUUCCUAAAACUCAAGAUCUUUUCUACGCUUAUCGUGAUAACUCUUUUGUCGACUCUGCGACGCUUUCAUUUGCUCUUGGAUCAUCUGAACCUUCUCAGUAGUUUGAUGAACAAUCUCUGGUCCUAAGACCACUCUUUCACCUGACUCAAACCAGCACAACGGAGUUCUGUAUCUCCGACCAUAUAAAGCCUCGAAAGGUGCCAUUCCAAUACUUGAAUGAUAACUAUUAUUAUAUGUGAACUCGAUUAACGGAAGAUGACUAUCCCAAGUUCCUCCUUGCUCGAGAACACAAAUCCUCAACAAAUCCUCUAGCGACUGAAUUGUCCUCUUCGACUGACCAUCUGUCUGUCGAUGAUACGCCGAACUCAAUCUCAGCUACGAACCCAAAGCCUCUUGCAAACUUUUCCAAAAUCUAGAAGUAAAUCUUGGAUCUCUAUCUGACACAAUGCUCGAGGGAACACCAUGCAACUUCACAAUCUCCUUGAUAUAAAUCUCUGCCAACUGGGCAACAGUGAAACUAAUAUUAAUCGGUAGAAAAUGAGCCGACUUCGUCAAUCUAUCAACAAUAACCCAAAUUGCGUCGUUCCCUCUAGGAGUAUUCGGCAAACUCGUCACAAAAUCCAUGGAUAUACUAUCCCAUUUCCAUUCUGGCACAUCUAAAGGUACCAUCAUUCCAGCGGGUUUCUGAUGCUCAACUUUCGACUUCUGACAAACUAAACAGGAAUACACAAACUGUGCCACAUCUCGUUUCAAACCAGACCACCAGAAAAUCUUCUUUAAAUCAUGAUACAUCUUCGUAGCUCCCGGGUGAAUACUCAAGCUACUUCUAUGACUCUCUUCAAGAAUCAUCUUCUUAAUCUCUUCAUUGUCUGGGAUACAAAUUCUUCCUCGGAAUCUCAACACACCUUGAUCAUCGAUUUUAAAAUCAUUGUCUUCAGUCUGAUCUCUAGCAACCAACAAGUCCACAAACUUUACAUCAACUCUCUGUGCUUCCUUGAUACUUUUCAGGAAUUCACUAUCAAUCUUCAGCAUACCCAGUUUCACACUCUGAGGUGACCAUUCGCAAACCAAACUCAUAUCUCUAAACUGUUCAAGCAAUUCGAACUCUCUGACCAUCAUAGCGGACAUAUGCAAUGUCUUCCUACUCAAGGCAUCUGCAACAGCAUUAGCUUUACCUGGAUGAUAAUUCAAACCAAAGUCAUAAUCUUUCAACAAUUCAAGCCAUCUUCGCUGUCUCAUAUUCAAUUCCUUCUGAUCGAACAGAUACUUCAAACUCUUGUGAUCACUAAACACCUCAAAUCUCGAACCAUACAAGUAAUGUCUCCAUAUCUUCAAUACAAAGACUACGGCCGCCAACUCGAGAUCAUGCGUAGGAUAAUUCUUCUCAUGAACUCUCAACUGUCUUGAAGCAUAAGCUACCACUUUAACUUCUUGCAUAAGCACACCUCCUAAACCCAACUUGGACGCAUCACAAUAUACCACAAAAGUUUCAUCAGACUUCGGCAAAAUCAAAACUGGAGCAGUCGUCAAACGCUUCUUCAAUUCACUAAAAUUGUUCUCACAAUGGACGUCCCACACAAAAGUUUUACGUUUACAAGUCAACUGUGUUAGUGGAAGAGCUAACUUGGAAAAACCUUCAAUAAACCUUCUAUAGUAACCAGCUAAACCCAAGAAGCUUCUAAUCUCUGUAACGGACUUAGGAGUCUCCCAUUUCGAUACCGCUUCAACUUUAGACGGAUCCACAGUAAUACCAUCACCAGAAAUAACAUGGCCAAGAAAACUCACUUCUUUCAACCAGAACUCACACUUAGACAAUUUGGCAUAAAGUUUCUUCUCUUUCAACACUCGCAAGACAAUCUUCAGAUGCUCAGCAUGUUCUUCUUCAGUCUUGGAGUAAAUCAAAAUAUCAUCGAUAAACACAACCACAAACCGAUCCAAAAAUGCAUGGAAGAUGCGAUUCAUAUACUCCAUAAACACUCCAGGUGCAUUGGUAACACCAAAAGGCAUAACUUUAUAUUCAUAGUUGAAGGGAUUUUAAGAGAGGUUUUUCCAAAUUUUAUAAUCCUCUAAGCGGAACAAAUCCCAUUGAAACGGAUCUUGAUUAAAUCAUUAAUCACAAAUCAAUCAGAAACUUAAACACUUUAAGAUUCAUGUGUUUACCUCUUGAAGAGCAGAACCUUUGUAGAAAAAAUAUUUCUGAUCACGAGCAAAGCAAAGCAGCGAUGCCUCUACUCAGUCCACAUGAACAGAACUUCUCCGAUGAUCGGUGCUAGCCAAUUCCAACGAAGAUUCAGAGAGAACAAGGUUUAGAGAGCGGCGGCUAGGGUUUCACAACUUUUGUGAAUUAGGUUAAGCACUCACAAAAAGUUAGUAAUGCUUCAACACAAGGGUUCUAUUUAUAGAAUCACUUGUGUGGACAACAAGACAACACUUAAAUACACCGUACCUUACGGUGGACCGCGUUUCUCUAUUUUUCGUAAAUUAAAUAAUAAAGUCAUAUUUAAUUAUUUAAUUAAUAAUAAGUCUCACUUAUUAUUUUAUAAAUAAGUCUUACUUAUUUAUUUCUCUCAUCUAUCUGUCCUUUGUGUGUGACCCUAUAGGUUCCCGUAACGUUGGCAAUAAUAAUAAAUCACAUAUUUAGUAUUAUAAACAGUGAGCGGUAUCUAGCACCACAUCGCUGCUACCCAAGUGACGAGAAUGUCAUGUGAUCUGACGAAACCUUUCUGUGAUAAUGAUCAUGUGUAUAAUUACCCUUUUUCCCUCAUGUCUAUAUUGAACACAAGGCAUAGACCGUGUCAUCCUUGUCUAGUUCAAUAUUGGGCCCGUAGACAUUUCUCCUGUUAUGUAGGAAGGGUAAAUUCCAUCUAGGUCACUCAUGUCCCUCAGCAUGAUUCAUGGAGUACCCAUCAACCAACUUUAUAGUCAUCCUGUUACGGACAACGUUUGAAUGGUGACAAAGCACUCGACUCCAACAUCUAGGGUACAUAGUGGUUUCAGGUCGAAGGGUGGAAUACACCACUAUCACUAUGAGAAUAUCUUAUGACACUUUUCAUAAUUUUUACUAUGUAGUAUUCUCAUGACGGAUCAAUCCAAUAUAAAUAUUACUCCUAAUUUUUAUAUCUAUGUGAAGACUAGAUAACUCUUUAUCCAUGAUCUGUGAGAUGUGAUCAUCAGUCUACCUACAUAAUAGUCUCUAUGUUUUAAUGAUAUCCCACUUCUCAAUAAAGCUUGACUACGGAUACUUUGAGAAUAGGUUCCUUAUGUUUAAUGGGGUCUCACAAUUAAGUUAUACUUAAUGUUCCAUUAAACGAACAAACUAUUCUAGGGACUUUAUUAUUUUGAAACAAAACAAAAUUGUAACGCCCACUUUCGUUUAAUCGUUAUUUAAUUGAGUUUAGGCAAUUAUAUUAUAAUUAUAUAGUAUAUGCAUGAUUUUGUUAUGUUUUGGUGAUUCACGAUGAAUUUAGUGAUUUGAUUGAUGACGUGAUAAGUUAUGAGUUUUAGAGGAUUUGAUUAUGAUAUGAGAUUUAUUUUAUUGUUAAAUAGAAUAAAGAUUUGAAAAUAAUAUAAAAUAUUUAGUUGAGGGCUGUUUUGAUAUUUUAGAUAGUUUUGGGGGAGAAAGUGAGAUAAGAUAAGUUAUUAGAAAGAGGUAUAAAUAAGAGAAGACCUAAUAUUUUAGAAACUCAUUGUACGUGAAAACUUUUGAAAAAGGGAGAAAAGCUUAUAAGGGAGAAGAGCAUAGAGAGGGCUGCGAUUUCUUCAUACAAGGUAAGGGUGAGACUAAUAACUCAGUAUUGUUAAUUGAAUGUGAUUCUGAUGAUUAGUUAACAAGAAUUAGGAGUGAAUUGGAGAAAACGAAAACUAGGUCAAAACCUUAGAAUUGAUGAUCAAACGGUGAGAAUUGGUUUAAUUGAUGUAGAAAGUGUCCCUAGACCUUAGAUAAUGUUUAGGACGAACUUUGGAAUCAAAAACAAGCUUAGAACCAUGUGAAACGUCGAGUUUUUGUGAAUUUAGGAAGUCUGGCCGUAGCGACAUUCAUCGCUCGCCACGGCGAGCUAUGAAUCUCGCCUCGCGAGUGAUGAACAUUCAUCGCUCGCCUCGCGAACCCUGUUUCCUCGCCUCGCGAGUUGUGCAAUGCAGCUCGCCAUAGCGAGCGACCUUACUCGCCAUAGCGAGCUAAGGCAGAGUGCAUGUUAGAUUUUGUGUUUCGACCUUUUUAGUUGGACCUUGAAUGCCUUAGUGUGCCUGAACAUACCUAGUAAUGAUUAGGAAUGAAUGUAGGGCAAGAUUAGACCCAUAACAACUUUAGUUUGGGAAUUGUUUAGUACUCGCCAUGGCGAGCAAGAACCCUCGCCUCGCGAGCACCUCCAGCCUUGAGUGUUGUGAGUGUUUGUGCGAUUUGUGUCGCACGUUUUGAUCAAGAGCGAACCCCCUUAUGAUAAUAAGACCUAAUGAUGACGUUAAAUGCAGUCUGUAAGCUGUUUAAGAUAUGUUGAAUUGAUUGAGUAUGAUUAAGGUAUUGUAUAUUUAUGUAAGAAAUGGAAGUUUAAUUAUGAAAUAAUUGAUGUGCUAUUGAUAUAAUGAUAUCAUCCUGUUAUGUGACUUGAUUAUGCUGCUGCUGUUAUUUAACUAAGUGCAUUGUAUGUAUUUAUAUAUGAUGAAAUGAUGACGUUUAGCUCCAAAUUGUUGGAUGCAUGUUGAUAUGUUGAUUACGAUGUUUUGUUCAUAAGAGUCCAUGCAUAGCAUCUCAUUGAGCUUAGUCCUCACCACGUUUAUUAGGAGCUUUGUCCUCCGCACGAUUAUUAGGAGCUUUGUCCUCUGCAUGAUUAAAGUAUAUUAAUACUUAUGAUGACGAUUGGUACCACAUGCAUAUAAGGAGUCUAAGAGCAUUGUCACAUUGUCAUGUCCAUAAUGCUAUGUUGUUGAUGACGGUUGAAUAAGUGAAUACGUGAUAUUGUUGAAUAUAUGAAUACGUGAUACUUGUUAUUUGAAUAUGCAAAGUUAUCCAAGAAUGAUUAUGAUGUUAAUGUUAAUUAUGAUUCGAAUUACUUUGAUUAGCAUUAUUUUGUUAUGAAAUCUCACCCCUUCUGCUUGAAAAUGUUGCCCUUCGUAUGGGUAACUUGCAGGUGAUCGUGCUUAGUGUGCAGUUGCUUCUGUGAGUGGCCUUGCCUCACUGUGUCGUCUAGGUCGCUCUGAUACGUAACGGGUUGGGGUUUAUGUUUAUGCAUGCUUCAUUCUCUUACGUGACUAAUAUGUUAUUUUUAUAAUGUUAUGGAUUCUGAUUAUGAACUUUUGAUGGGGCCUGCGUGCCAAAACGUUUUAUGAAUUAUGAUUAUGAUUUUCCGCUGCAAUGUUUAAGAUAUUGGUUAAAUUAUUAUUUAACUGUUUUGGAUUAUGUUUUAUGUGAUAUCCCGUUGUUUAUGAUGCUUACUCUGAUAAAUGUUUUUAAGAAUUUUUAUGUUGGGAAAACGGGGUGUUACAAUUGGUAUCAGAGCAGGUCGGUCCGUCCGGUCAAUUAGAGAGUCGUGUCGAGUCUUAGUAAUAUUUAUAUUACUAUCUUAUGUUGUUGUUGCUACUUUUGUAGAAUCUCGGAAAUGGCUGGAAGAAACGAUGCUGCGUUAGCUGCUGCUCUACAAGCUGUUGCCCAAGCUGUGGGACAACAACCUAACGCAAAUGCUGGUGCGAACGCGGAAGCUAGGAUGUUGGAGACGUUCAUGAAGAAGAACCCUCCGACCUUCAAAGGACAUUAUGACCCUGAUGGAGCCCAGACGUGGCUUAAGGAGAUUGAGAGGAUUUUCCGGGUUAUGCAGUGCACUGAAGAUCAGAAGGUGCGGUUUGGUACUCAUCAGAUAGCCGAGGAAGCUGAUGACUGGUGGGUUGCUCUUCUGCCUACCCUUGGGCAGGAGGGAGCUGUUGUGACUUGGGCUGUUUUCAGGAGAGAGUUCCUGAGAAGAUACUUUCCGGAAGAUGUUCGCGGGAAGAAAGAGAUCGAAUUCCUUGAGCUGAAGCAAGGAAAUAUGUCCGUGACAGAGUAUGCUGCCAAGUUCGUGGAGCUGUCUAAGUUCUAUCCGCACUAUACUGCUGAGAAUGCUGAGUUCUCGAGAUGUAUCAAGUUCGAGAACGGUUUGAGGCCCGACAUUAAGAGGGCGAUUGGAUACCAACAGCUGAGAGUUUUUCAGGAUUUGGUUAAUAGCUGCAGGAUCUAUGAAGAGGAUACGAAGGCUCACUACAAGGUAGUGAAUGAAAGGAAGGGCAAGGGACAGCAGAGUCCUCCUAAGCCGUACAGUGCCCCCGCUGACAAAGGUAAACAGAAGAUGGUCGAUGUUAGGCGGCCUAAGAAGAAGGAUGCUGCAGAGAUUGUGUGUUUCAAUUGUGGUGAGAAAGGCCACAAAAGCAACGUCUGCCCUGAGGAAAUCAAGAAGUGUGUCCGGUGUGGCAAGAAAGGUCAUGUUGUAGCUGAUUGCAAUCGUACAGACAUUGUGUGCUUUAAUUGCAAUGGAGAGGGUCACAUUAGUUCACAGUGUACUCAGCCUAAGAGGGCGCCGACUACUGGUAGGGUCUUUGCUUUGACUGGGACUCAGACAGAGAAUGAGGAUCGUUUGAUCAGAGGUACUUGCUAUAUUAAUAAUACUCCUUUAGUUGCUAUUAUUGAUACUGGUGCUACGCAUUGUUUUAUUGCUUUCGAUUGUGUUUCUGCUUUGGGUCUUGUUUUGUCUGAUAUGAAUGGAGAGAUGGUUGUCGAAACUCCAGCUAAGGGUUCGGUGACUACUUCUCUCGUAUGUUUGAAAUGUCCUUUGUCUAUGUUUGGUCGUGAUUUCGAAAUGGAUUUAGUUUGUCUACCUUUGAGCGGUAAGGAUGUGAUUCUGGGUAUGAACUGGUUAGAGUACAACCACGUUCUUAUUAAUUGUUUUAGCAAGUCAGUACAUUUCUCUUCCGUCGAAGAGGAAAGUGGUGCAGAGUUUUUAUCUACUAAGCAGCUGAAGCAACUGAAACGCGACGGUAUCUUGAUGUUUUCGUUGAUGGCUACUUUAUCUAUUGAGAAUCAAGCAGUGAUUGAUAGGUUACCGGUGGUGUGUGAAUUUCCUGAAGUUUUUCCAGAUGAGAUUCCUGAUGUGCCUCCAGAGAGAGAAGUUGAGUUUUCUAUUGAUCUUGUUCCUGGAACGAAGCCGGUCUCGAUGGCACCUUAUCGUAUGUCUGCUUCUGAGUUAUCUGAGUUGAAGAAACAGUUAGAAGACUUGCUUGAGAAGAAGUUUGUUAGACCGAGUGUUUCACCUUGGGGAGCGCCGGUUUUGUUAGUAAAGAAGAAAGAUGGUAGUAUGCGGUUGUGUAUUGAUUAUCGGCAGUUGAACAAGGUAACUAUCAAGAAUAGGUAUCCACUUCCGAGAAUUGAUGAUUUGAUGGAUCAGCUAGUGGGUGCACGAGUUUUCAGCAAGAUUGAUUUGAGGUCAGGUUAUCACCAGCUUAAAGUAAAGGAUGAAGAUAUGCAGAAGACAGCUUUCAGAACGCGUUAUGGUCACUAUGAAUAUAAAGUUAUGCCUUUCGGUGUGACCAAUGCACCUGGAGUGUUUAUGGAGUAUAUGAAUCGCAUCUUCCAUGCAUUUUUGGAUCGGUUUGUGGUUGUGUUUAUCGACGAUAUUUUGAUUUACUCCAAGACUGAAGAAGAACAUGCUGAGCAUCUGAAGAUUGUUUUGCAAGUGUUGAAAGAGAAGAAGCUUUAUGCUAAAUUGUCUAAGUGUGAAUUCUGGUUGAAAGAAGUGAGUUUUCUAGGCCAUGUUAUUUCCGGAGAUGGUAUUGCUGUGGAUCCGUCUAAAGUCGAAGCUGUAUCGCAAUGGGAUACUCCUAAGUCCGUUACUGAAAUUAGAAGCUUUUUGGGUUUAGCUGGUUACUAUAGAAGGUUUAUUGAAGGAUUUUCUAAGUUAGCUCUUCCGCUAACGCAGUUGACUUGUAAAGGUAAAACUUUUGUAUGGGAUGUUCAUUGUGAGAAAAGUUUCGGUGAAUUGAAGAAGCGUUUGACGACUGCUCCAGUGUUAAUUUUGCCGAAGUCAGAUGAACCUUUUGUGGUAUAUUUUGAUGCGUCCAAGUUGGGUUUAGGAGGUGUACUUAUGCAAGAAGGUAAAGUGGUAGCAUAUGCUUCAAGACAGUUGAGAAUUCAUGAGAAGAAUUAUCCUACGCAUGAUCUCGAGUUGGCGGCAGUAGUCUUUGUAUCGAAGAUAUGGAGACAUUACUUGUUUGGUUCGAGAUUUGAGGUGUUUAGUGAUCACAAGAGUUUGAAGUAUUUGUUCGAUCAGAAGGAAUUGAAUAUGAGGCAGCGAAGAUGGCUUGAGUUGCUAAAGGAUUACGACUUUGGUUUGAAUUAUCAUCCGGGUAAAGCUAAUGUUGUUGCAGAUGCCUUGAGUAGGAAGAAAUUGCAUAUGUCCGCCAUGAUGGUCAGAGAGUUCGAGUUACUUGAACAGUUUAGAGAUUUGAGUUUGGUUUGUGAAUGGUCACCUCAGAGUGUGAAACUGGGUAUGCUGAAGAUUGAUAGUGAAUUUCUAAAAAGUAUCAAGGAAGCACAGAAAGUUGAUGUAAAGUUUGUGGACUUGUUGGUUGCUAGAGAUCAGACUGAAGACAGUGAUUUUAAAAUCGACAAUCAAGGUGUGUUGAGAUUCCGAGGAAGAAUUUGUAUCCCAGACAAUGAAGAGAUUAAGAAGAUGAUUCUCGAAGAGAGUCAUAGAAGUAGCUUGAGUAUUCAUCCGGGAGCUACGAAGAUGUACCAUGAUUUAAAGAAGAUUUUCUGGUGGUCUGGUUUGAAACGAGAUGUGGCACAGUUUGUGUAUUCCUGUUUAGUUUGUCAGAAGUCGAAAGUUGAGCAUCAGAAACCUGCUGGAAUGAUGGUACCUUUAGACGUGCCAGAAUGGAAAUGGGAUAGUAUAUCCAUGGAUUUUGUGACGAGUUUGCCGAAUACUCCUAGAGGGAGCGACGCAAUUUGGGUUAUUGUUGAUAGGUUGACGAAGUCAGCUCAUUUUCUACCUAUUAAUAUUAGUUUCCCUGUUGCCCAGUUGGCAGAGAUUUAUAUCAAGGAGAUUAUGAAGUUGCAUGGUGUUCCUUCGAGCAUUGUGUCAGAUAGAGAUCCAAGAUUUACUUCUAGAUUUUGGAAAAGUUUGCAAGAGGCCUUGGGUUCGAAGUUGAGAUUGAGUUCGGCGUAUCAUCCACAGACAGAUGGUCAGUCGGAGAGGACAAUUCAGUCGCUAGAGGAUUUGUUGAGAAUUUGUGUUCUUGAGCAAGGAGGAACUUGGGAUAGUCAUCUUCCGUUGAUCGAGUUCACUUAUAAUAAUAGUUACCAUUCUAGUAUUGGAAUGGCACCGUUCGAGGCCUUGUAUGGUCGGAGAUGCAGAACUCCGUUGUGUUGGUUUGAAUCAGGAGAAAGAGUGGUCUUAGGACCAAAGAUUGUUCAGCAAACUACUGAGAAAGUUCAGAUGAUCCAAGAGAAAAUGAAAGCGUCGCAGAGUCGACAAAAGAGUUAUCAUGAUAAGCGUAGAAAAGAUCUUGAGUUCCAAGAAGGAGACCACGUGUUUUUGAGAGUCACUCCUAUGACUGGUGUAGGACGUGCUUUGAAGUCAAAGAAGUUGACCCCGAAGUUCAUUGGUCCGUAUCAGAUAUUGGAAAGAGUUGGAACGGUGGCUUACCGAGUGGGUUUACCGCCGCAUCUUGCGAAUUUGCACAACGUUUUCCAUGUGUCGCAACUUCGAAAGUAUGUUCCGGAUCCAUCUCAUGUAAUCCAAAGUGACGAUGUGCAAGUUAGAGACAACCUUACGGUAGAGACUUUACCAGUGAGGAUUGAUGAUCGUAAAGUGAAGACGUUGAGAGGCAAGGAGAUACCUCUCGUAAGAGUCGUUUGGACGGGAGCGACUGGUGAAAGCUUGACGUGGGAGCUUGAGAGUAAGAUGCUGGAGUCUUAUCCAGAGUUGUUUGCUUAAGGUAAAUUUUCGAGGACGAAAAUCUUUUAAGUGGGGGAGAGUUGUAACGCCCACUUUCGUUUAAUCGUUAUUUAAUUGAGUUUAGGCAAUUAUAUUAUAAUUAUAUAGUAUAUGCAUGAUUUUGUUAUGUUUUGGUGAUUCACGAUGAAUUUAGUGAUUUGAUUGAUGACGUGAUAAGUUAUGAGUUUUGGAGGAUUUGAUUAUGAUAUGAGAUUUAUUUUAUUGUUAAAUAGAAUAAAGAUUUGAAAAUAAUAUAAAAUAUUUAGUUGAGGGCUGUUUUGAUAUUUUAGAUAGUUUUGGGGGAGAAAGUGAGAUAAGAUAAGUUAUUAGAAAGAGGUAUAAAUAGGAGAAGACCUAAUAUUUUAGAAACUCAUUGUACGUGAAAACUUUUGAAAAAGGGAGAAAAGCUUAAAAGGGAGAAGAGCAUAGAGAGGGCUGCGAUUUCUUCAUACAAGGUAAGGGUGAGACUAAUAACUCAGUAUUGUUAAUUGAAUGUGAUUCUGAUGAUUAGUUAACAAGAAUUAGGAGUGAAUUGGAGAAAACGAAAACUAGGUCAAAACCUUAGAAUUGAUGAUCAAACGGUGAGAAUUGGUUUAAUUGAUGUAGAAAGUGUCCCUAGACCUUAGAUAAUGUUUAGGACGAACUUUGGAAUCAAAAACAAGCUUAGAACCAUGUGAAACGUCGAGUUUUUGUGAAUUUAGGAAGUCUGGCCGUAGCGACAUUCAUCGCUCGCCACGGCGAGCUAUGAAUCUCGCCUCGCGAGUGAUGAACAUUCAUCGCUCGCCUCGCGAACCCUGUUUCCUCGCCUCGCGAGUUGUGCAAUGCAGCUCGCCAUAGCGAGCGACCUUACUCGCCAUAGCGAGCUAAGGCAGAGUGCAUGUUAGAUUUUGUGUUUCGACCUUUUUAGUUGGACCUUGAAUGCCUUAGUGUGCCUGAACAUACCUAGUAAUGAUUAGGAAUGAAUGUAGGGCAAGAUUAGACCCAGAACAACUUUAGUUUGGGAAUUGUUUAGUACUCGCCAUGGCGAGCAAGAACCCUCACCUCGCGAGCACCUCCAGCCUUGAGUGUUGUGAGUGUUUGUGCGAUUUGUGUCGCACGUUUUGAUCAAGAGCGAACCCCCUUAUGAUAAUAAGACCUAAUGAUGACGUUAAAUGCAGUCUGUAAGCUGUUUAAGAUAUGUUGAUAUUGAUUGAGUAUGAUUAAGUUAUUGUAUAUUUAUGUAAGAAAUGGAAGUUUAAUUAUGAAAUAAUUGAUGUGCUAUUGAUAUAAUGAUAUCAUCCUGUUAUGUGACUUGAUUAUGCUGCUGCUGUUAUUUAACUAAGUGCAUUGUAUGUAUUUAUAUAUGAUGAAAUGAUGACGUUUAGCUCCAAAUUGUUGGAUGCAUGUUGAUAUGUUGAUUACGAUGUUUUUUUCAUAAGAGUCCAUGCAUAGCAUCUCAUUGAGCUUAGUCCUCACCACGUUUAUUAGGAGCUUUGUCCUCCGCACGAUUAUUAGGAGCUUUGUCCUCCGCACGAUUAAAGUAUAUUAAUACUUAUGAUGACGAUUGGUACCACAUGCAUAUAAGGAGUCUAAUAGCAUUGUCACAUUGUCAUGUCCAUAAUGCUAUGUUGUUGAUGACGGUUGAAUAAGUGAAUACGUGAUAUUGUUGAAUAUAUGAAUACGUGAUACUUGUUAUUUGAAUAUGCAAAGUUAUCCAAGAAUGAUUAUGAUGUUAAUGUUAAUUAUGAUUCGAAUUACUUUGAUUAGCAUUAUUUUGUUAUGAAAUCUCACCCCUUCUGCUUGAAAAUGUUGCCCUUCGUAUGGGUAACUUGCAGGUGAUCGUGCUUAGUGUGCAGUUGCUUCUGUGAGUGGCCUUGCCUCACUGUGUCGUCUAGGUCGCUCUGAUACGUAACGGGUUGGGGUUUAUGUUUAUGCAUGCUUCAUUCUCUUACGUGACUAAUAUGUUAUUUUUAUAAUGUUAUGGAUUCUGAUUAUGAACUUUUGAUGGGGCCUGCGUGCCAAAACGUUUUAUGAAUUAUGAUUAUGAUUUUCCGCUGCAAUGUUUAAGAUAUUGGUUAAAUUAUUAUUUAACUGUUUUGGAUUAUGUUUUAUGUGAUAUCCCGUUGUUUAUGAUGCUUACUCUGAUAAAUGUUUUUAAGAAUUUUUAUGUUGGGAAAACGGGGUGUUACAAAAAUCAAUAAAGAAAUGCCUUGUUAUUAUAUAUUCACAAUAUAUAUUUAUAUCAAUAUCAUGAUACAAAGCCAAAAUCAAUCAUUAUAGAUUGGCUAUUAGGGCUUAUUCCAACAAUCUCCCACUAGCACUAAAAUAUUAACUCAAUAUCUAUUGGUCAAGUGUUAGCAUCAAGCACACUCUUGACAAGAUACUAUACUAGUAGAUAAGGAACUCUUUCCUAUGUUGGUAGGUUAUACUUCUUUCAAUUUCCACUUUCGAUCUUCUAUAGAAAAGAAAUUGAAUUGUCAAAAUAUACAUUGGGAUCAUUGGUGAGAUCAAGUUUUCAUUGCUCGCAAGAUUUAAACCAAUUUUACCUCAUACGAGAUCAAUGGAAUCCGCAACGCAAGAAACACAUGUUUUCACUUAGUUAUGAGCUAAACAAUCCAACUCAUAUAUAUUUGACAUCUGUAAUAGAAACAAAAACUAUUUGAAGCUUGUACUUUUACAAAUUUCAUAGUUGAUAUCCUAGCAUAACAUUUAUUCCAAAUUACGAUCUGGAUAUACUAUACACUGAUAUGAAAGUCAACAUCAUUGUAACUCAUUUACAAUUUUUCUUUCAUCUGUGUUCAAGAAACAAUCUAUAGUCUUUUAAGACAUCUAAGGAUAUUCUUGAAGGUAUUAUAGUGUCGAACACUAUAAUCAAUUUUGGUACAUAUUGAAAAUAAUUUUCUAACCAUGUCUUACAUGUGUAGAUAAAUUAUUUUGGUGACUAGUAUGUCAUCUACAUACUCCACCAAACUAAUUUCAAUGCUCCCACUAAUCUCCUUAUGUGCACAAGAUUUCUUUAUUAAUCAAAGUUUUCAUAAAACUUCGUUAAUAAAAUAAACAAUUUAACCUCGAGAAGAUUUCUCUAAUAAAUAAAUUUUGUAAUACAUUUACCUUUCUAGUAGCCUUUGGAUUAACGAAACCUUACAUAUAUGUCAAAUACAUAUAUAAGGUCAUUCUAAUUAAAGAAUGCAACAUCGUUAUCCAUCUCCUAGAAUUCGUAUUAUACAACAAUGACAAUUGGGAUCGUUAGAUUUAAGCAUUACGAUGAUGUAAUAGUUUCGUCAUGAUUUGCAUCAUGAGUUGCAUGAAACUUUUUACAAUCAAUCACAUCUUAAAGGUAUUCAUAAUACCAUCCAUGUCAGUUUUCUACAAGAAAACUCACAUUCAUCUUAUGAGUCAUCCUCAUUUGGAUGAUAUAACCAAUAUCCAUAUAUGGUUUGUGUACAUGGAUUCUUUAUAAGAUCCCAUGGCAACUAGCCACUUCUCAAAAAUCAAGUCAUUUGCGACCUUCUAGUAAGUCAGGUGCUCAUCUUCCAUGAGCAUCAUAUCACCUUGUUGAGUCAUGACAAAAUCAUGUUUCUCAUCCUAGUGUUAUGACAUAUCAGACUCAUCUAGAUCAUGUGCUACUCGAACUACCGAUUUACCAACAACCCAUUGUUGAAUCAGUUCAUGUUCCAUUCUUAGAGAAACAUGUAUUUUGUGGUACUUGACUUAAUUCAAGUUCUACAUCACUCCCACUAGCUCUUGCAAAGCUAUACUCCUUGAAAAGGAAUACUUCAGUUCUACCGACAAACAACUUUUGUCAAGGAAGAAGAUAUAGAAAUAGUAUCCUCUAGUUUCCUAAGGGAACCUCCACAAGUAUACAUUCAUUUAAUUUGAAGUUUAGUUUAUCUAGUAAACCAUAUAACCUCAAAUUAUCAUAAAGUCAAAAAAUAGGUACUCUUACCUCCAUAUGUAAUAUGGUGCAUUUAUGAUUACUCAAUCAUAACUUGUUGUGGGUGAAGAAUAACUGAAAUUUAAUUAAUUUCAAGAGUCUUUGAGUUAUAAUUAAACUAUUUUAGAUCGAGUCAUGUAAAAAUGAAACGAUAUAAAUAAUCAUUAUCCUCAUUAAUCAAGCAUUUACCAUCACGACUUACUCGUAUAGUCUUUAUACUUUCAAACUUAUUCCUUUUACUUCAUUGUUGAAAUCUUUGAACAAUUUCAAAGUUUUCAUGAAUCGUGUCAAAUACACUUUUCUUAUCCACUAAAUGAUUUAGUAAUGUUUAAAAUAAAGUAAUAGAAACAAUAUCUAGCAAAUAUGUUUAGUUCUCCAUAUACAUCUCAUAUGUAUAUAAACUCAAAUAAAUUACGUGUCCUUUUCACCUUUGUUGGUGACCGGUAUACUAAUCUAUUUUGAAAGGUGGGACUCAAAUCCUUCAAAUGAUAUAAAAUCAAAUGAGUCCAAUAGUCCAUAUCCAUGGAUUUUGGAUAUGUGAAUCACACCUGUUUGUACUAAACAAUAAUGCUAAUGAUAUACAAAAGGUUCAAAUCUCAUUUGAUCGUUUUUCAUAUGUUAUAGAUCAGCUUAUCAAGAUCAUGGAACUCAAUUCCAUUACUUGAUUAGCACACUUGUAUAGAAAAUAUUAUUUGAAUAAUAGGACAACAUUUGUCUUUUAUUCAACUACACAAUCCUUUUCUUGUCAAUACAAGGUUUAGGACAUAAUGGUUCUAUAUUAUAUGGAAUUUAAUAACAAUUAUUUGGUUCCAUAUCAAGUUAAGUUUAAGUCCAAGCAUAAGCUCUUAUAGUCAAUGAAACUAUUUGUUCCAUUCUAGACGUAGGUGGACUUCACUUAUAAUUAAUGUUCUACUUCUUUAAAACUCUACAUUUCGACAAAUAUAAGAUUAAUCAUCAAGUAUCAUAUACUUAUAACGCAGAAGUAGAAAUUUAACUUUAUAUAACUAUAUGGGUAAAUAAGAAGUCUUACUUCUUUCUUAUUUUGACUCUUUCAAAACUAGGACCAAUUUUAUUUUUCAAGUUUUAAAAUAAUUGCUUCCCUUUUUAGCAACCAUGUUUAACCUUCGAAGGUAAAGAAACAAAGUUUGAAUUUUAUUCUUAUCUGUUUCCAUCUACUUGAUAGGUUGAAACUCUUUAUCUUAUCUUGCAGUUAUAACAUUGAGGUUAACGAUCAUAUCAUUAUCCAUUGUCGUUACCACUAUGAGAUAUCUUAUAUCCACUCAAUCGACUUGAUGCUUCUGACAAGCAUUCUUUUCGAAUUUAGAUAUAGAGAGUUGCUAGGAAAUGGUCGCUCGAAAUUAUACAGUUUUUCUUAUUCUUAAGAACAAUUCUUAAUUUUGUACCAAUUCAGAAACUCCUUUCUGAAGAUUUUGUUCUUCAUAAGAACAUUUAACAGUAUAAUAAAAAUGUAUAUGCUGAAGAAAUUCUAAAUACAGAAAAUAAAUAAAUAAAUGUAUCACGAUUUAAAAAAAACAUAAUUAAUUAGGUCUUUAAUUAAAUAUGCUUCCACUAUUUUACUCAAAACAAAUGACCUUCAACAUUUGAAUCGGAAAAUCUCAUUGGAAGAUUUUCUAGUGGAUUGAAAUCCAUAUUUCACCUUGCUUUAAGUCAACGGGGGCUGUACUCAAAACUCAGUUAUUUAGGUAGGAACUCCUUCCAAUUGUAUCUCAUACAACUUUCAAACCAUUUGAGUGAAUAACUCUUUACUCUAAUCUAUCAUAUAGAUGUUCCCAAACAUUGCUUCUAAAUUUAUUUUAAUCAUAUUAAAAUAAUUUAGUUAAGUUGGACCCAAAGAAUAACAGUCGGGUAAAUGGAAUUACCGCACCGCAACUUACUAGUAUAGAAAGUGCACCUCGCGGAGGCGAAACCUACACAUUUCGAUAUUAGUUUUGAAGGGUGUCAUCCUUUGGAAAGCAAUUAACUUAAUAUUGUUUUGAAGUAAACAGAUAUAUAUUUUAAUCUUAUUAAAAUAAUAUAGUUAAGUUAAAUCCAAAAUAACAGUCGGUUAAUAGAAUUACCGCACCCCAACUUACUAGUAUAGAAAGUGCACCUCGCGGAGGCGAAACCUACACAUUUCGAUAUUAGUCUUGAAGUGUGUUAUACUUUGGAAAAUAAUUUACUUCAUAUUAUAUUUGAAGGAUUUUAAUUAAGUUGAUCUCACUGACAUGUGUAUCUUAUACACACAUCUAAUAUUAUACAUGACAUUCAUGUUCAUAGAUAGCAAGUAUAUAUAAAAUAUUUAAAAUAUACAUGCACUGAUCUAAACACACAUUUCAUGCAUCACAUACAUAAAAUAAUAAACUAGGUAGUAUGGUUAUGACCUCCUAACGCGUAAGAAUUAAAUAAACUAUUUUAUUACAAUUCUUUGACCCACGAGCAAGCUUCAAAAGUUUCUCCAUCGAAAUCAUCUUUUGGCAUUGUCUUCUCCUCAACUUGAGCAUUUACAUUAUUUAACAAUUAAAUAAAAUAAAACAAAACACGAAACGCAGGGCGUAUUUAAAUAAAAUAAAUCACGACACGCAGACCGUAUUAAAAUAAAAUAAAUCAUGACACACAUGUCAUAUUUAAAUAAAUAAACAAACGCCAAUAUAAACUAAGGUCAUAACCAUAUACCAUAAAAUAAAUAAUAAUAACUAUUUAUAAUUAUUUAAAACAAUUAACUAAAACGGAUCUGAUCUGAUACCUUAAAAGAGAUUGAUACGCAAGUCUAAUAAAAGGCCAAAAUUUUGGGCAGCUAAUUUUCCAUAAAAGUAGCAGCAUAGAGAAAUCUCAAAUUGAUACCAUAUCAAUUUAAAACGAGACAGAAUCAAAACUCUUUUGAUUCAAGCGUCAGUACUGAUCUCUUAAAAACAAUUUUAAAAGUCAAUCAAGCCAAUAACUUGCAAAUUAUUGAAUUAUAACAGAAAUAGCAAUUUCCUUAAUAGUUAUUGUAUUUGCUUUUGACAUAUCAAUCCAAUUAAUAUUAUUAAAUAGGUAUUCAAAGCAAACUACACAAAUCAAUCAAUUUGAUCGGCAAGGAGAAUCACAUCACAUGUGUAUGCUAUAACGACACAAACUUUAUAAAACUUAUGGCUAGCCAGAAUUGGUCCUGUACUGUAUCGUGAUCGUAUGAACCUUUUGGGAAUUACUCAGUACUCAAGCUUUUCAUUCAUCAAAUAAUCACACAAAAGAUCACGUUCCCAUACAAAAAGUCAAUACAUAGAUCGAAUUCAAAAUUUGAUAAAUGUAUCACGCUAUGAACAACCAAUUUAUAAGACGCUCUAUCUCUUUGUUUCGAUAACAUAGACCAAAAAACGGUAAAGAAUAUACACACGGCAUAUAUGUAUAUAAAACGAAAUUCAAAGUGCUCAUAACACAAAAUUGAAUAUUUCGAAACACAUAAACAAUAUUCAUAUCAUCAUAUGAAACAUUAAACAAAUUUGAAUAUAAUGAUUUAACCAGAACCAGAUGCUCUGAUACCACUGAAGGGAUUUUAAGAGAGGUUUUUCCAAAUUUUAUAAUCCUCUAAGCGGAACAAAUCUCAUUGAAACGGAUCUUGAUUAAAUCAUUAAUCACAAAUCAAUCAGAAACUUAAACACUUUAAGAUUCAUGUGUUUACCUCUUGAAGAGCAGAACCUUUGUAGAAAAAAUAUUUCUGAUCAUGAGCAAAGCAAAGCAGCGAUGCCUCUACU